rnacentral:rRNA from 1 species
AUCCUGGCUCAGGAUGAACGCUAGCGACAGGCCUAACACAUGCAAGUCGAGGGGCAGCGAGAAUAAAGCUUGCUUUAUUUGUCGGCGACCGGGCGCACGGGUGAGUAACGCGUAUGCAACCUUCCGCUACUCGGGGGAUAACCCGAAGAAAUUCGGACUAACACCGUAUGUGCUUAUAAUUCGCAUGAAUUUUAAGUGAAAAGUUAUGAGUAGCGAUGGGCAUGCGUAUGAUUAGCUAGUUGGCGGGGUAACGGCCCACCAAGGCGACGAUCAUUAGGGGUUCUGAGAGGAAGGUCCCCCACACUGGUACUGAGACACGGACCAGACUCCUACGGGAGGCAGCAGUGAGGAAUAUUGGUCAAUGGGCGAGAGCCUGAACCAGCCAAGUCGCGUGAAGGAUGACUGAUCUAUGGUUUGUAAACUUCUUUUAUAAGGGAAUAAAGUGCAGCACGUGUGCUGUUUUGUAUGUACCUUAUGAAUAAGCAUCGGCUAACUCCGUGCCAGCAGCCGCGGUAAUACGGAGGAUGCGAGCGUUAUCCGGAUUUAUUGGGUUUAAAGGGUGCGUAGGCGGUUACUGUAAGUCAGUGGUGAAAUUUUGAUGCUUAACAUUAAAAGUGCCAUAGAUACUGCAGAGCUGGAAUGGGGAUGCUGUCAGCGGAAUGUGUAGUGUAGCGGUGAAAUGCAUAGAUAUUACACAGAACACCGAUUGCGAAGGCAGCUGACAAAUCCUUUAUUGACGCUGAUGCACGAAAGUGUGGGGAUCAAACAGGAUUAGAUACCCUGGUAGUCCACACAGUAAACGAUGAUAACUCGCUGUCGGCGAUACACAGUCGGUGGCCAAGCGAAAGCGAUAAGUUAUCCACCUGGGGAGUACGACCGCAAGGUUGAAACUCAAAGGAAUUGACGGGGGCCCGCACAAGCGGAGGAACAUGUGGUUUAAUUCGAUGAUACGCGAGGAACCUUACCCGGGCUCGAACGGUACAUGAACGACACAGAGAUGUGAAGGCCAGCAAUGGCAUGUAUCGAGGUGCUGCAUGGUUGUCGUCAGCUCGUGCCGUGAGGUGUCGGCUUAAGUGCCAUAACGAGCGCAACCCUUGCCAAUAGUUACUAACAGGUUAUGCUGAGGACUCUAUUGGGACUGCCAUCGUAAGAUGUGAGGAAGGUGGGGAUGACGUCAAAUCAGCACGGCCCUUACGUCCGGGGCUACACACGUGUUACAAUGGGAGGUACAGAAGGCCGCUACCCGGCGACGGGAUGCCAAUUCCCAAAACCUCUCUCAGUUCGGAUUGGAGUCUGCAACCCGACUCCAUGAAGCUGGAUUCGCUAGUAAUCGCGCAUCAGCCACGGCGCGGUGAAUACGUUCCCGGGCCUUGCACACACCGCCCGUCAAG